GGUGGCUCAGUGGUAGAGUGCUUGCCUUGCAUGCAUGAGACCCUGGGUUCGAUUCCCCAGCACCA
rfam:Dipodomys ordii contig_58480, whole genome shotgun sequence.